GCGGCCUCCGGGGCACCACGGGUGCUCCGGGGACACUGAUGCCGAGCCGCCGAGCAGCACAAUGCCGCGGAGUGCAUGAAGGGAGAGACAGGGUGUAUAGCGAGCUAAGGAACAAAGAAGGGCAGUGUUCAUCGGUGCCUCCCCUCUAGGAGCAAUGGAGGGCCCGAGAUGGCGCCCAGACCCAAAGCCGAGGCACCUGGCUGGCCUGCCCGGGUUCUGGGUAGGACGUGUCACCAAGAGACCCUCCAGCCUGGUACGGCCCUCUGCUCAUUAUGUGAGCAGUCUUCAAGAUUCCAGGUAUUCCCCGUACCGGUUGUGGCUCACUGAGGGUCUGCACCUGAGGACCGCCGACUGGGUCCUAGCGUCGGUAAAUACCGAAGAGCAGGGCCCCUGGCCAGUCGAGGAAGUUUCUUUCAGUUCAGGAUGAGCCCUGCCAGAGCACAGUUUCUUCCCCCGAGGAAUUUCCAUCACCUCCUCGGGGUCUGCCUGAUCGUCAGCAGCCUCAGUCUCCAAACCGCUGGAUGGAUCAUACCGCAGCCGAAGGCCAACGUGUGGGCGACGUUGGCCAGAUCAAUGGGCCAAGAUCACAUCUGCCUCACGGCUGCGUCAGCAGAUGACCCUCUCUCGACCUGUCUCGUGGGGAUCCCCUUUAAGCCCGAGGAGUUCCCCGCGGAACUUCUCAAAUACUUGAGAACAGCUAACCAGGUCCGGCCCCACCCUUAUACUUUAAAAGGCCCUAUUAAGAAUCCCUUUGCCAUAUGGUCAGGUUUUGAGCACUCCCUUCCCCAAUUGGUUUCUUACCCCACCGAAUUAGAGCUUCUAAGUUCGGUUAAUGCCUCCUUUUGCGUUAAGUUCAUUUAUACCCCCCCAAAGGAACAGGAUCAACUUUACCACCAGAUCUGUCCCCAUCGCCUAAUGCCAGACGGCUGGUGCCAGGACACCGUAGAGGUCCAUAUACCAACUACCACCCGUCAUAAGCCCCUUAAACUCCCAAAGGGAGUGUUCAUGAUCUGUGGUGACUGAGCGUGGGCAGGCAUCCCCCCUCUCCCCACAGGAGGUCCUUGCACAUUAGGCCAGUUGAGCUUGUUUACCCCCAACAAAACUUCUGUGGCUAAUUGGCAACGCAAAUUAUCUCGUAAUUCGGCUAUUCAAAAAAGAGAUCUCAGUGCAAUUGACCCCGAAUGUGAUCAUGAAAUUGUCCAUUGGUCAAAAGCUAAAGGAGUCACAGUCACCAUUUUCUUGCCUUGGGUGGCGAUUGCAAAGGCUCUAGGUGAAUUGGCCCACCUAGAGUGCUGGGUGGCUAAACAGGCCAAUUUAACAACUGAUGCCUUGACGAACCUCCUAGGUGAGGAGGAAACAUCGAGGCAGGCGACUCUUCAAAAUCGGGCGGCCAUUGAUUACCUCCUCCUACUGCAUGGCCACCGAUGCGAAGAGUUUGAGGGACUCUGUUGUUUUAAUUUGUCAUCCAAGGCAGAGAACAUCCAUGCUACCAUCCAGCGGAUGAAAGACAUGAUACCAUACAUCAAACGGGAGACAGGUGGCUGGCUAGACGAACUUUUCGGGAACUGGGGACUCACCGGCUGGGUUUCAUCCACUUUGAAGACUUUGUUACUGUGUUUGUUUAUUUUACUACUGACUGUGAUUUCCUUUGGACUCCUCAAAAGAAUGAUCUUAAAUUUGAUUUCCGCUUCACACCCCCCCUCAGUUAACCGAGUCACUGUAGAGCAAGAGGAAGAAGGAAUGGAGAUGGACGAGUUAGACAACGAUGAGGGUAGGAACCCCGAUUUGGAAGAUCAUGGACUGGGGUAUCCUACCCAACAUGAAUGGUUCGCCUCCAGUUAUCCCAAUUCAGAAUAUCUCCCUCCUCCCUUUCAGUUUACCUCAUCAUAAAACAAAAAAGGGGGAGAUGUGGCGGUGCGUUUUUAUUUUUGUUGAACUAUUAAUGAGCUCUGUGUAUGUUUUAAAAUUCUUUGUAAGUUGGUUUGUUCCUUGUACCCCCUGUUUGUCCUUAGUGGUUCUCUCCCUGGACUUGUUACGUAAUUGUUCGUUAUAUGUCAAUCAUCCCUACCCCCUCUACCCCAGUUGUCAAUCCCCUCUCUCUCCCCUUGGGCGCCCUGUCCAUCACUUAGGGGCCCUUCCCUGGGUUCUGGAAAGAUCCAGGAAGGGCGUCGAGUGGUUGGUGGGUGCCCGAAGAGUCCCCUCCCCCUUUCUUGGGAUUGGAUCCCCAUCUUGUGGUUAACACCCCUUGUUACGCCCCUUUGCUUUUCCAUUGGUCGACCGGUUGUCGCCUCCCCUGAACCCUCCCCCUGUUAAAAGUGGUUGCACAGCUCUGCUCGGGGCUCUCUGAGCGCAGUUGCCUCCCGAGGUAGAGCUCCGUCCGUGACUCCCUCAAUAAACCACCCUAUCGCACUGU